GACGUAGGGGGCAAGCGUUGUCCGGAAUUAUUGGGCGUAAAGCGCUCGUAGGCGGAUCGGUAAGUCUGUGAAGAAAGACCCGGGCUCAACUCGGGGAACGGCAUAGAUACUGCUGAUCUUGAGACAGUCAGAGGAUGAUGGAAUUCCAGGUGUAGCGGUGAAAUGCGUAGAUAUCUGGAGGAACACCGAUGGCGAAGGCAGUGGGCUGGGCCGGCACUGACGCUGAGGAGCGAGAGCGUGGGGAGCGAACAGG
rnacentral:rRNA from 1 species